CGCAUUAUGGAGUAAAUGGUAACUCGGUGGUUUCAUAGUCCAUAGUUGCAGGUUCGACUCCUGCUAAUGCUU
rnacentral:tRNA from 1 species